rnacentral:rRNA from 1 species
UGACCUCAAAUCAGGUAGGACUACCCGCUGAACUUAAGCAUAUCAAUAAGCGGAGGAAAAGAAACUAACAAGGAUUCCCUUAGUAGCGGCGAGCGAAGCGGGAUGAGCUCAAAUUUGAAAUCUGGCGUCUUUCAGGCGUCCGAGUUGUAAUCUAUAGAAGCGUUUUCUAUGCUGGACCGUGUCCAAGUCCCUUGGAACAGGGUAUCAAAGAGGGUGACAAUCCCGUACUUGACACGACCACCAGUGUUCUGUGAUACGUUUUCUACGAGUCGAGUUGUUUGGGAAUGCAGCUCAAAAUGGGUGGUAAAUUCCAUCUAAAGCUAAAUAUUGGCGAGAGACCGAUAGCGAACAAGUACCGUGAGGGAAAGAUGAAAAGCACUUUGGAAAGAGAGUUAAACAGUACGUGAAAUUGUUGAAAGGGAAACGAUUGAAGUCAGUCGUGUCUAUUGGUUUCAGCCGGUUCUGCCGGUGUACUACCUUUAGACGGGUCAACAUCAGUUUUGGACGGCAGAUAAGAGCAGUUUGAAUGUAGCACCUCCGGGUGUGUUAUAGCUUUCUGUUGCAUAUGCUGUCUGAGACUGAGGACUGCAGCUCGCCUUUUAGGCCGGGGUUCGCCCACGUUCGAGCUUAGGAUGUUGACAUAAUGGCUUUAAACGACCCGUCUUGAAACACGGACC